rnacentral:rRNA from 1 species
UACAGAGGUGGCAAGCGUUGUUCGGAAUUACUGGGCGUAAAGAGCGUGUAGGCGGCCCGAUUAGUCUGCUGUGAAAGUCCAGGGCUCAACCCUGGAAUGCCGGUGGAUACUGUCGGGCUAGAGUCCGGAAGGGGCGAGUGGAAUUCCUGGUGUAGCGGUGAAAUGCGCAGAUAUCAGGAGGAACACCAAUGGCGAAGGCAGCUCGCUGGGACGUGACUGACGCUGAGACGCGAAAGCGUGGGGAGCAAACAGG